AGGCAACCAUGAGCAUAAAGAAUAAAUCUGGAGUGGCUAAAAUUGAGACACAGGUCAUGCUUCCAUCACAGUAAACAUAUUACAGUGGUGACAAUGAGACCUGUAACAUUU
ensembl:snoRNA